rnacentral:rRNA from 1 species
UACGUAGGGGGCAAGCGUUGUCCGGAAUCAUUGGGCGUAAAGAGCGCGUAGGCGGUCCGGUAAGUCCGCUGUAAAAGUCAGGGGCUCAACCCUUGAAAGCCGGUGGAUACUGCCGGGCUAGAGUCCGGAAGAGGCGAGUGGAAUUCCUGGUGUAGCGGUGAAAUGCGCAGAUAUCAGGAGGAACACCGGUGGCGAAGGCGGAUCUCUGGGCCUUACCUGACGCUCAGGUGCGAAAGCUAGGGGGAGCGAACAGG